rnacentral:lncRNA from 10 species
CUUUAUCUCUACAAGGAUAGAACAGAUGAGCUAAACUGUACCCAUCAGCGCCCAAGGCCUUGCUCACCUUCUCCAGGCACUAGAACCUGCUGGGCUUGAGAGAGGUAAAGUAGAGAGAUUACAGUUGAUGGACAGAGCAUUAAAAUAUUUUAACAGCCAUCUUAUCUUUCAUUUAGAAAAAAUUAUGACUACUUUCAGUUUGCAUAAACAUAUAGUGAAUACUCUCUAUUAAGUUGUCUACCUGGCUUAUUUUAUUUUUAGAUAUUCUGAAAUAAAGCAGAUUUUACGCAUUGCAAUAGGGGACAAAAACUAUUUUAAAUAAUAUCUUUUUUCAGAAAGUUAACUGCUGCAGUUCUUUGAAAGAAGAUAUUACAAG